rnacentral:rRNA from 1 species
GACGAACGCUGGCGGCGUGCUUAACACAUGCAAGUCGAACGGAAAGGCCUUUUCGGCGGUACUCGAGUGGCGAACGGGUGAGUAACACGUGGGUGAUCUGCCCUGCACUCUGGGAUAAGCCUGGGAAACUGGGUCUAAUACCGGAUAGGACCGCACUUUAGUGUGUGUGGUGGAAAGUUUUUUCGGUGUAGGAUGAGCCCGCGGCCUAUUAGCUUGUUGGUGGGGUAAUGGCCUACCAAGGCGGCGGCGGGUAGCCGGACUGAGGGGUUGGUCGGCCACAUUGGGGCUGAGAUACGGCCCAGACUCCUACGGGAGGCAGCAGUGGGGAAUAUUGCACAAUGGGCGCAAGCCUGAUGCAGCGACGCCGCGUGGGGGAUGACGGCCUUCGGGUUGUAAACUCCUUUCGCCAGGGACGAAGCGUUUUGUGACGGUACCUGGAGAAGAAGCACCGGCUAACUACGUG